rnacentral:rRNA from 1 species
UGGGGAAUAUUGCACAAUGGGCGCAAGCCUGAUGCAGCCAUGCCGCGUGUAUGAAGAAGGCCUUCGGGUUGUAAAGUACUUUCAGUCGGGAGGAAGGUGGUAAGGUUAAUAACCUUAUCAAUUGACGUUACCGACAGAAGAAGCACCGGCUAACUCCGUGCCAGCAGCCGCGGUAAUACGGAGGGUGCAAGCGUUAAUCGGAAUUACUGGGCGUAAAGCGCACGCAGGCGGUUGAUUGAGUCAGAUGUGAAAUCCCCGGGCUUAACCCGGGAAUUGCAUCUGAUACUGGUCAGCUAGAGUCUUGUAGAGGGGGGUAGAAUUCCAUGUGUAGCGGUGAAAUGCGUAGAGAUGUGGAGGAAUACCGGUGGCGAAGGCGGCCCCCUGGACAAAGACUGACGCUCAGGUGCGAAAGCGUGGGGAGCGAACAGG